rnacentral:rRNA from 1 species
AGAGUUUGAUCAUGGCUCAGGACGAACGCUGGCGGCGUGCUUAAGACAUGCAAGUCGAGCGGGGGGAGCAAUCUCCCCAGCGGCGGACGGGUGAGUAACACGUGGGGAAUCUGUCCAUGCCUCCGGGAUAACAGGCCGAAAGGCCUGCUAAUACGGGAUAAGCUCACGGCCGGGCAUCCGGUUGGGAGAAAAGGCGCUGCAAGGCGCUGGGGAUGGGGGACUCCGCGGCCCAUUAGCUAGUUGGCGGGGUAACGGCCCACCAAGGCGACGAUGGGUAGCCGGCCUGAGAGGGCGACCGGCCACACUGGGACUGAGACACGGCCCAGACUCCUACGGGAGGCAGCAGUCGGGAAUUUUGCACAAUGGCCGAAAGGCUGAUGCAGCAACGCCGCGUGAGUGAAGAAGGCCUUCGGGUUGUAAAGCUCUGUUGCCCGGGACGAACGGCGCCUUCAGGAAAUGGGAGGCGUAUGACGGUACCGGGUG